rnacentral:rRNA from 1 species
UACGUAGGCAGCGAGCGUUGUUCGGCAUUACUGGGCGUAAAGAGUGUGUAGGCGGUGUCCUAAGUCUGGUGUGAAAUCUCCCGGCUCAACUGGGAGGGUGCGCCGGAAACUGGGAUGCUAGAGGAUGGGAGAGGUAAGCGGAAUUCCUGGUGUAGCGGUGAAAUGCGUAGAUAUCAGGAGGAACACCUGUGGUGUAGACAGCUUACUGGACCAUUUCUGACGCUGAGACACGAAAGCGUGGGUAGCAAACAGG